rnacentral:rRNA from 1 species
UACGUAGGGUGCAAGCGUUGUCCGGAAUUAUUGGGCGUAAAGAGCUCGUAGGCGGCCACUCAAGUCGAAUGUGAAACCUCGAGGCUUAACCUCGAGCCUGCAUUCGAUACUGGGCGGCUAGAGUCUGGUAGGGGGAUCUGGAAUUCCUGGUGUAGCGGUGGAAUGCGCAGAUAUCAGGAGGAACACCGGUGGCGAAGGCGGCAUGCC